GACGAACGCUGGCGGCGUGCCUAAUACAUGCAAGUAGGACGCAGUUGCGAACGUGUGAGUAACGCGUAGGUAACUACCUAUUAGAGGGGGAUAACUAUUGGAAACGAUAGCUAAUACCGCAUACUAGUAGAUGGACCUGCGUUGUAUUAGCUAGUAGGUAGGGUAAUGGCCUACCUAGGCAACGAUACAUAGCCGAGCUGGGAAGGUGAACGGGCACACUGGGAAUGGGGCAAGGGCCAAGAGCCUACGGGAGGCAGCAGUAGGGGAUCUUCGGGAAUGGGGGGAAACCUGACCGAGCAAAGCCGCGUGAGUGAAGAAGGUUUUCGGAUCGUAAAGCUCUGUUGUUAAGGAAGCGGUACUUAACCAGAAAGGGACGGCUAACUACGUGCCAGCAGCCGCGGUAAUAC
rnacentral:rRNA from 1 species